rnacentral:rRNA from 1 species
AGUAGUUUGUAUCCUGGGCUACAGGAUAAACGCUGGCGGCGCACAUAAGACAUGCAAGUCGAAGGACUUUAACCAUUAGUUUUACUAUUGGAGCGGUUUAGUGGCGGACUGGUGAGUAACACUAAGCAACCUGCCUAUCAGAGGGGAACAACAGUUAGAAAUGACUGCUAAUACCGCAUAUGCCUUAGUAACACAUGUUAACAAAAGGGAAAGAAGCAAUUCGCUGAUAGAUGGGCUUGCGUCUGAUUAGAUAGUUGGUGGGGUAACGGCCUACCAAGUCGACGAUCAGUAGCCGGACUGAGAGGUUGAACGGCCACAUUGGGACUGAGGUACGGCCCAGACUCCUACGGGAGGCAGCAGUCGGGAAUAUUGCGCAAUGGAGGAAACUCUGACGCAGUGGCGCCGCGUGCGGGAAGAAGGUUUUCGGAUUGUAAACUGCUUUAGACAGGGAAGAAACAAGACAGUACCUGUAGAAUAAGCUCCGGCUAACUACGUG